rnacentral:lncRNA from 1 species
CGUUCCUGAGAGCACAAGCACCCCCAAAUGUGAAGUGCACUCGGACACACACACACACACACACGCACGCACACACAAGCACUCAUGUUCUAAAGAGAGAGGUCUGAGUCCGAAGUUGCUGCUGCUGGGAGCUUGAGCUGAGAUGGACUGGUCUUCAUGGGCGCCCAAGGCGCUGGGUGCAGCUUUCCCCGAGACCCCCAGAUGGAAAGGAGGGAAGGAGGAACCCCACACACUCGCCUUUUGCGAGAAGAUCGGCGCGCACCCCAGAGUGCCCCAAGCCUUUGGAAUCUGCCUGCUGAGCGGAGCGCGCGAGCGUGGUGGACAGGUCCCGAACUUGGCCAGCGGGCUUUCUUGGCAACUUGCUUUGCGCAGUUCUCCAUGGAACCCUGGACCCACUGUGCUCCCGGCGCCUUGCCUUUUUUUUUCUUUUUCUUUCUCUCACUGUCUCUUUUUAAAUUUAUGAACUCGAAAUGAAGCGGAAAGCAGAUAUGCGCGUCAGCAUACUUUGGCGGACCUUUUAAAAAUGGAACUGUCGGCUGCGGCUGGAAGGCGCAGGCAGGCGCCCUGGAGAGAAUUCACAGGGAGGCACAGGACAGAACGCUCCCAGGAACGAGGAAGCACCCCCAGAAAGGAGCGCUCUAUGGGCUCCAGGCAGCCGAGGAAACGCGAACGUGAGCCCCGUGACUGCACUCCCACGUGCACCAACGCUGCCAGUGUGAGCAGAAGCGGAGCCCGCAGAGCGCCAGGCUGCGCCGGGAGAUGCAUCACGAUGAAAAACUGCGCCAGAGCAUGGCGGGAACUUUCCGAGAGGGCGUGUUGUUUCCAGGCGGUUCCACCUUCUAAUAUGAAACAGUCUUGGUUGAUUUUCCUUGAUACUACUUUAUGCUCGGCCUGGUUGUUGGCAAGUAGCUGCCCGCGUCUGUACGCGCCCUUGAUUAGUUUCCACUGCAUGUGUUUUAACACAGUCCUCCUUUUUCCACGUUUAUUUGGGCCAACCCUGUCUGCAAAGAUCCAGUUUAAUACAGAUUUGAGUCUACGUGCUAUAGCCUGGAAAUGUACUAAAGACACUACAACAUAUUGCUGAAAGAAUAGAAUCUUUAUUCUGAAUGCAAAGCGGACACCUAGUAAAAAAUUCUGGAAUAAUAAAACAAGCAAGGCUUAUGUGCUCAGUUUUGGGGACGCUCCAAUUUAAAGGCUUAGUCAUUGUCACGGUGUAAGGUUUACCCAUUGCCCCCAUCACACAGAUGUGGGAUUGUUGAGAGCUGAGUGUCCUAUGACCUCUUCUGCUGCCCAAGAACUUGGGGUGGGUGGUAACUGGAGAAAUCAAAGUGAUCAGCUGCAAAGAACGCUUCCAUUGCUGGAGCUUGGUUGUGCGGGAUUCUCCACGGAGGUCUUAAGGCAGAGACAAAAACAAGGACUUUGGGAGGCUCCUGUGAGCAGCCAAAAGGGUUUAGAGUCAGGCAGCCUCAGGUUACAAAUCCAGUCCUGCAGGCUAGGAGUUGUGUAAGCUUAAAAAAGUGACUGCACUUCCAGGAACAUCAUUUCCCUACCUGCUCCUCCUUCUGACGGGUUUUCUGAGGACAAUGGAAUCCACACUCUGUGUCGAACACUUUUCUAAUUAGCGAUGUGCAGACACUGUUUAUUUUACAGGAAUAAAAAUGCCAGAAGAACCCAAGUCAUAUUCAUUUAAAGCAGGGUGACAAGUACACCAAAAUCUGAAAAAUCAUCACUAAAGAACUUAUCCAUGUAACCAAAAACCAUUGAAAUAAAAGUAAACUAUGGAAACAAAAUUUAAAAGUAAUAAAAUUUAAAAGUCCAAAAAGACCAGUCCCAGUGCUGACCAGUCCCAUCGUAUCUCUGACGGUGCAUAUCAGGAUCCGCAUUGAUCAGAUGCCGAAACCAUGGCUUGGAAUGGCUGCGAUGAAGCUGAGCUGCGAUUCAAACCCAGACACAGCUUUCUACAGAGAAGCACCUUUCUCCAGAUCUUCAUUGCCAUUUUGGACACACAGCUCCAAACCCAAAAUGUGUCCACUGGAUCAACCCACAAUGCAAACAACUGCUUUCUAAGGAAAAGCCGAGUUUCUAGGAGGCAGCCCACUUCUGACGUGUCCUUCAGUUAACAGGCUGCAGUGGACAGCGUGUGGUGGGUGGAGGAAGACGGCAGAUGAGAAAUUCAAGGAGAUUCACCACAGAGCAGCUUUCUGGCUCAGCUGUUCUAGGGUGCCA